rnacentral:rRNA from 1 species
GACGAACGCUGGCGGCGUGCCUGAUACAUGCAAGUCGAGCGAACCUUUGGGAGCUUGCUCCCAGAGAUUAGCGGCGGACGGGUGAGUAACACGUGGGCAACCUGCCCUGUAGACUGGGAUAACACCGAGAAAUCGGUGCUAAUACCGGAUAACACCUUUCUUCUCAUGGGGGAAGGUUAAAAGUUAGGAUUACUAACACUACAGGAUGGGCCAGCGGCGCAGUAGCUAGUUGGUAAGGUAAUGGCUUACCAAGGCGACGAUGCGUAGCCGACCUGAGAGGGUGAUCGGCCACACUGGGACUGAGACACGGCCCAGACUCCUACGGGAGGCAGCAGUAGGGAAUCUUCCGCAAUGGACGAAAGUCUGACGGAGCAGCGCCGCGUGAGUGAUGAAGGUUUUCGGAUCGUAAUGCUCUGUUGUUAGGGAAGAACAAGUGCCGAACGAAUAGGUCGGCACCUUGACGGUACCUAACCAGAAAGCCACGGCUAACUACGUGCCAGCAGCCGCCGUAAUAC